UACAGGUUAAGUUAAAAAGGGCGCAUGGUGGAUGCCUUGGCACUAGAAGCCGAUGAAGGACGGGACUAACACCGAUAUGCUUCGGGGAGCUGUACGUAAGCUUUGAUCCGGAGAUUUCCGAAUGGGGAAACCCAGCAGUUUUAAUCGACUGUUACUAUAUAGUGAAUUCAUAGCUGUAUAGAGGUAGACGUGGGGAACUGAAACAUCUCAGUACCCACAGGAGCAGAAAGAAAUUUUCGAUUCCCUCAGUAGCGGCGAGCGAACGGGGAACAGCCCAAACCAAUGAGCUUGCUCAUUGGGGUUGUAGGACUGAACAUUUGAGUUACCA
rnacentral:rRNA from 1 species